CAGUCGCCGCGGGAAUACGUAGGAUGCGAGCGUUAAUCGGAUUUACUGGGCGUAAAGGGCGCGUAGGCGGACUGAUAAGUCAGGGGUGAAAUCCCAAGGCUCAACCUUGGAACUGUCUUUGAUACUGUUUGUCUUGAGUUCGAGAGAGGUAAGUGGAACUGCGAGUGUAGAGGUGAAAUUCGUAGAUAUUCGCAAGAACACCAGUGGCGAAGGCGGCUUACUGGCUCGAAACUGACGCUGAGGCGCGAAAGCGUGGGGAGCAAACAGGAUUAGAUACCCCUGUAGUCCCUGUUUCUUAUAC
rnacentral:rRNA from 1 species